UACGAAGGGGGCUAGCGUUGUUCGGAAUUACUGGGCGUAAAGCGCGUGUAGGCGGGUCUUUAAGUCGGGGGUGAAAUGCCAAGGCUCAACCUUGGAACUGCCUUUGAUACUGGAGAUCUUGAGUCCGGGAGAGGUGAGUGGAACUGCGAGUGUAGAGGUGAAAUUCGUAGAUAUUCGCAAGAACACCAGUGGCGAAGGCGGCUCACUGGCCCGGAACUGACGCUGAGACGCGAAAGCGUGGGGAGCAAACAGG
rnacentral:rRNA from 1 species